rnacentral:miRNA from 14 species
UCUGGUAAGAGUGGCAGUUGAGG